rfam:Triticum urartu cultivar G1812 contig593885, whole genome shotgun sequence.
CUAAUACUCCCUCCGUCCAGAAAUACUUGUCUAGGAAAUGGAUGUAUCUAGAUGUAUUUUAGUUCUAAAUACAUCCAUUUUGAUCCAUUUCUACAACAAGUAUUUCAGGACAAAGGGAGUACCUA